CUGUGCUUCGGUGCAGCCAACCGCCGUGGGGCUGUCUUUUCACUGUUCCUCCCGAUGCGCUUUUUUGUGCGGGGGAGGGGUCGCUUGCUAUCGGUGGUCUGUGUAGUUCUACCCUCGUGCGGAACAAAAGUGGGUUUCAUGAUAGGUUUCUGCCUGCGCCGUCGACACGUGCUGUCAUCGGCGCGGCUGAUUUGUUGGCAUAAUGCUUGUGCGGCUGUGGGCGCAUGAAUAGCUCCAGUACUGUACACGCGUUGUGUCGGCCCUCACGGAUGCGGUGCGCAAUGAGGAAUCCAUGCGUCUUCGGUCGCUGGAUUAUUUCGGGAUGUCCCUCGCACGGAUUGCCGCUUCGUUGCUUUGCUUCGAGGCGCGGUCCUGUGCUGGCGAGAUGGUUGCCCGGUUGAAAGUGCGAUUGUCCGGUCUCGUCGUGCAAAGGCGCUCCCGUUGAGGGCGCGCCGGAAGCGACUUGUCGGCUCUCGUUUAAGACGUGCUACCUGGUUGAUCCUGCCAGUA
rnacentral:misc_RNA from 1 species